AUUCCAGCUCCAAUAGCGUAUAUUAAAGUUGUUGUGGUUAAAAAGCUCGUAGUUGGAUCUCAACAGCCUUGAAGCGGUUAACUUUGUAGUUUUACUGCUUUAUAGGCUGUGCUUUUGCUGGAGGUUUAGGGGUGCUCUUGAUCGAGUGUCUCUGGAUGCCAGCAGGUUUACUUUGAAAAAAUUAGAGUGCUCAAAGCAGGCUAAAAUGCCUGAAUAUUCGUGCAUGGAAUAAUAGAAUAGGAUGUCGAUCCUAUUUUGUUGGUUUUCGGGACUCGACAUAAUGAUAAAUAGGGACAGUCGGGGGCAUUUGUAUUCAAACGACAGAGGUGAAAUUCUUGGACCGUUUGAAGACAAACUACUGCGAAAGCAUUUGCCAAGAAUGUUUUCAUUG
rnacentral:rRNA from 1 species